ACCCAGAUAAGGCUGAUGGCCAAGGUGACUACAACAGUAGCCAAGGUGACGGCGAUGAGGAUUCUGAUGGCAGUUCCUCUGAAGAAGGUUUGCAGGAGGAUUCUAAUGGCCAGUCUUCUGAGGAAGGUGACAGUGGGGAAUCUGAUGGCAUGUCUUCUGAGGAAGGUGACCACAACAGUAGCCAAGGGGAUGGCAAUAAUGGCCAGGCUGAAGGCGAAGAUGGCCAUGGUGGCAAUACUCGCUAUUACUGGGAAGUAACCCCAAAUAUAAAUAAUAUCAUACUUGGAAGAUGAGAAUUCUGACUCCCAGUCUUCAGAGGAAGGUACAGUAUGCAAGAUGUUCACCUACUAACCUCUCGCACAGGAUCAGUUAUGGCCUAAUUGUUAGGAAUGUGAUCUUUAGAUCAGAGGACUGCAUUUUUAAAUUCCUUAUGUCCCAGUCGGAAGAAUAUAUCCCAACACUUUUCAUCCAUGGCUGAAGAUUCAACUGGUAAUAUGUUGUGUGUAAUGUUAUUUGUGUUGAUGGCUCUUGCGUCUCCUUUUAGGCCCUCCUGCUCUCAGCUCGAGAUGCGCUGCUGGUUGGUCCUUCUAAUGGUUCUUGACUGUUUCAUGUGUGACCUUUUGAGCUACAAAUAAAACGUAUUAAAUCCA